CCCGCUGAACUUAAGCAUAUCAAUAAGCGGAGGAAAAGAAACCAACAGGGAUUGCCUUAGUAACGGCGAGUGAAGCGGCAAUAGCUCAAAUUUGAAAUCUGGCGUCUUUGGACGUCCGAGUUGUAAUUUGUAGAGGAUGUUUCGGUAUUAGCUCCAGUCUAAGUCUCUUGGAACAGAGCGUCGCAGAGGGUGAGAAUCCCGUACGCGACUGGCUGCUUUUGCCAUGUGAAACUCCUUCGACGAGUCGAGUUGUUUGGGAAUGCAGCUCUAAUUGGGAGGUAAAUUUCUUCUAAAGCUAAAUACUGGCCAGAGGCCGAUAGCGCACAAGUAGAGUGAUUGAAAGAUGAAAAGCACUUUGGAAAGAGAGUUAAAAAGUACGUGAAAUUGUUGAAAGGGAAGCGCUUGCAAUCAGACCUGCUUGCAGUUGUUCAUCUAGACUUUUGUCUAGUGCACUCUUCUGUAAGUCAGGCCAGUAUCGGUUUGGGCGGUUGGAUAAAGAUUUCAGGAAUGUAGCUCUUUUCGGGGAGUGUUAUAGCCUGUUUUGUAAUGCAACCAGCCCAGAUCGAGGACCGCGCUUCGGCUAGGAUGCUGGCGUAAUGGUUGUAAGCGACCCGUCUUGAAACACGG
rnacentral:rRNA from 1 species